UACAGAGGGUGCGAGCGUUAAUCGGAAUUACUGGGCGUAAAGCGCGCGUAGGCGGCUAAUUAAGUCAGACGUGAAAUCCCCAGGCUCAACCUGGGAACUGCGUCUGAUACUGGAUGGCUUGAAUUCGGGAGAGGGAUGCAGAAUUCCAGGUGUAGCGGUGAAAUGCGUAGAUAUCUGGAGGAAUACCGGUGGCGAAGGCGGCAUCCUGGACCGACAUUGACGCUGAGGAGCGAAAGCUAGGGGAGCAAACGGG
rnacentral:rRNA from 1 species